rnacentral:tRNA from 1 species
UGGUAAAGAAAGGACUUAAACCAAUGUAAAUAGGACUACAGCCUACUGCCUACCGCUCGGCCACUUACCA